AAAAUCAUGUGAUUAAAAUAUGGCUGCCUAAGCCUACCAAGAAUUCUGGAUGAAGGUCAAUUACAAAGAAGGGGUGUGCACCAGGAGACAACAAUAGACAAGCUUAAUUCCCACAGGACUCGGGUCACUGGAUGCAGAUUUGAUGAGAAGUAAAAAUGCAGCAGCGGGAGAGUCUGAGGCAAGGUGCCUGGCGGAGAGCUAGAUAAACAGAUAGUGCUGUGCCCGGUGGCUCCAGGGGCAGAUCAAAGCCGGAUUUCCCAGCACAGGUGGCCUGAGAGAAUGAAGCCGAUUUGCAGAGAACCUGGAACAGAAUUCUGGCUUGAGCAGAACUGGAGUUUCUGAAUCCAGUUGACCGUGGAUCCAGAUACCC
rnacentral:lncRNA from 1 species